AGGCGCCAUCGACUUCGGAGAAGAGAAUAAGUGAUUAGGGCAAAUCUUUGAAAGAUAUGGAAACUUCCAUAAAUGUCGGGAACAAUCGUCUGGCUGUUCCUAGUGGGAUCAACUGUCAGACUGCUCCUCUCGAUUUUUCCGCCGGGAAAGACUCCAAUUCUUACUCCUUUCUUCACUCUUCUUCCUUCAGCUCUUCAUCCUUCAGCUCUUCAGUCUAUUCCAGACCUGAAAUGACUCUAAAAGGACUGGACUAACUCGAUAAACAUUGAAAACAAGUUAAAAAACAUAUACACAAUGGUGUCAAAAACACAAUAUAUCAAAAGCCUCCUCAAUAGUAGGAAUAUGCUUCAGCAUCAAGAUAAGACGACGUGACUGCUCAUACGAUUCAUUAAGUCUCAUUAAUAAUUUGGUAAUUAUACUCCUCUGUUGUAGUUUCUCCCACAAUGCAACUGCAUUACAUUCACAGCGCCACAAA
rnacentral:lncRNA from 1 species